AAUAACCUUAGGCAAAAAAGGUCUGGUGUACAGGACCACUUUGUCUUGAUGGAAGACUCUAAAUUCAGAAGCUGAAGAAAGAGCUUGAAGUUCAUCUAUCCUUCUUGCCGAGGUGAUGGCUACCAGCACUACUGUCUUGAUCGUAAGGGGUUUAAAGGGAGGUUCACAAAGGGCUUGAAGAACCAAUGAUAAAUCCGAGGUGGGAAAAAGUGAAAGCUUAGGAGGAUGUUUAAGACUUACAGAUUUUUAAAAAAAUCUGCGGAUAAGCAAGUCAGAGGCAAAAAUUACGGACAAGGAAGUGACUUA